rnacentral:snRNA from 2 species
AUACUUACCUGGACGGGGUCGACGGCCGAUCAAGAAGGGCCGUGGCCUAGAUCAAUGGCUCACAUUGCACUUGGUGAGCGCGUUGGUUUACCAUCUCCCCAAGUGGGAGAGUGGACGUCAUAAUUUGUGGUAGAGGGGGUACGCGUUCGCGCGGCCCCUGC